rnacentral:rRNA from 1 species
UACGGAGGGUGCAAACGUUGCUCGGAAUCAUUGGGCGUAAAGCGCACGUAGGCGGUCCUGCAAGUCGGGUGUGAAAGCCCUCGGCUUAACCGAGGAAGUGCAUUCGAGACUACUGGACUUGAAUACUGAAGAGGAUCGCGGAAUUCCUGGUGUAGCGGUGAAAUGCGCAGAUAUCAGGAGGAACACCGGUGGCGAAGGCGGAUCUCUGGGCCAUUACUGACGCUGAGGAGCGAAAGCGUGGGGAGCGAACAGG